CACUCCUGGGGAUCCGCCUCGACGCCUUCUUCUUUACCUGAGCAUAGAUUGCACUAAAGGCAACCUGGUGUUUUGUGAAAGCAAGGGUGAGUACACAUCAACGUACUCAGCAAAUGUCCCGUUUGGCUGAGGUGGACUAGCUUUAUGUGGAGUUAAGCUCAAGCAGUUGCUUUUAGUUAGUCAGAUAUUUAUUAUUAGUGGAAGCCAAGUUUUAGUAAUAGCCAACCCGUGAACAGCUUCCUCCUCGAGGAACAUCAUGAUCAUCAUCGAACCAAAAACAUUAAUAGAACCAUUGAGUCUCAAACCAGCUGUAUCUCUAAUCCAAGAGGAUCCCAAGGCCGCUCAUAACCGUGAGCACGGCUGAUAUAUCAGUUUCUAACCCUCUGCAGAGGUCGCACACUUUACCCAUGAGCCGUGAUUCCUGUUUUGCCCGGGGAUCAUGACUCCCCAUUGAUCACUUCCUAGGUGGUCCGAAAGAACCUCGGCACUCAGCCUCGGCAGAGCAAGCACUGUGCCUGGACCCCAUUGAUGGCACGACGGUGAAGCAACUACACCUCUAGUUCCUCUAAUUAAUUAGCUAAGGGCAUCUCAUUUCACCCUCAUGGUUGCACUGUUAUCCCGAGUGGUCUCUCAACGAACAGGUCCUUACGGAGAGGUACUCGGGAAACAGUCCGAGUCCCCUUAAAUGCCACAAGUAUAUCAUCAUAUCCAGAAUAAAAUCAUAGUAUCAUCAUUAUAUCUCAUCAUGUUCAUUGAUUAAAGUAAAGCGCUAGCAUGUAGCUAACCAUAGUAAACCAAAAGGUAAAUCAAGGACAAGGUAAAUAGAAAGCUAGUAAAUCCUUAGGUUGUUCAUAGUAUGCGAGACAGUGAAUUAUAAAGUAAAUGGGACAUAAUGGGUCAGAGGACACUUGCCUUCACCGAAUAGAUGCUCAGGGUCUUCAGCCUCGUAGAACUCGAAGAGUUCGAUCACUUGGUCGCCAAAGCUUGACCGUCGAUUCCUCGAAGCUCGAAAAUGGAUCGCAGUCUAUUCGCGACGCGAAGCGAAGACGAACAAGCACCAGCAAACAAACAUAUACAUAUGCAUAAGAACAUUACACCAUACAAAGGAAAACAUAAUCAAAACAUGCAAUACGAAAUAGAGCGCGUUACUACAGUCACGCGAGGAAAAAGAAACGCGACGGUCGAGGCUACGGUCGAGAAGUUAUCGCGUCCAUACUAAGCGAGUAUUAAUCAUAACAUUUAGUUUGAUCUAAUUAUAUUAAUCAAUAUUUAUUAAAAUAAAAGUAGAGCUGUUGCGCAAUUUUAAUUAGCUGACGACACUAACGAUUCUUAGUUAAAUAAGUAAUUUAAAUAACAACAGCGACUCUAAGCAGAACAAAUUAGCGGAGCGAGACGAAACAUGUAACGCAUGAAACAUCACGACAGCGUGCAAACGACGCGCGGACACGCGCGACAUAGCACGCCGACGAUACACGAACAGCACGCGCAACGAGCGUGAACGAAGCGUGAACCAGCACGCCGCCAUAUGCUGAACAACACGCGCGAUAGGCGAGAAAGCUAAAUCGGUGACAUGUUUAUACUAAACAAGUCUUAAUUAGAAUAUUAGUCCGACACAAUUAUAAUUACAUGAAUUGACAUUAUCAUAUCAAAUAUAAAAAAACUAAUAUUUAGCUUUGACUAACUUACUAUUUUACUAGUGGACGAUUAAACAAAUAGUUAACUAAUUGACCUUAGUGAUUAAAAUCAAACGACUUUAAUAUCGCGCGCGGGCAGCGCGCGACAUGCGAAACAACACGUGCGACAACACGAGAGUAACGAAUGAAGUAUACACGAGAGUAACGAAUGAAGUAUACACACGAACAACAAGGCGACGACGAGUGCCACACGUGGGAAUAGUGCGCGCAUCACGUGUGAAGGAGCACACGGAAAGCGCGCACGACUACGUAUGACCAUGAGCAAAUGACGCGUGACGGUGUACGCGAACAGCACGCGACAACACGCGAACGUCGUGCGCGACAGCACUCGCGACACGCGAGAAUCACUAACAAAUAUCAUGUUUAUUGUAAACGAGUAUAAAUUUAGAGCAUGCGAGUUGGCAUUAACCACAUUACUAUGUGUUUAUAAAAACACAAAUAAAACUAUAAAAUUAUUUUUAUGUAAAUUGCUAUUCUAAUAAAUAUCGGAUGAACAAUUAAUUAACUAAUUAAUUAAAACUUGUGUCGUGACAAAAUAAUGUUACUAAUAUAUUGACGAUAUUAUUAUUAAGCUAACGAGAUGAAAUGAAUCAAAACUGGAUCGUAACACAUAAUAUAUUGAAUAACUAAUAGCUCAUAUAUUAAUUACGAAGUGGCGCACGUGAUUGGUCGAAGCUAAAUCACAUAAAGGGCCACGGAGUUUGCAGCCAUGGAAGAUCAUCCUGAGGGAGUUUUGUAUUGGAUGUAGGGAAUUGUGCGUGCAGGAGGGGUGCAUGGCUGCAUGCACAUGCAUGUGUGGGGCUCAAGUAGUUUUCCUUAAACGCACGCCAAAGGGAUAAACACCAUGCAUGUGGGUCCCACCGGUAGCUUUUUCUCCCUCCUUUCUCUACACAACUCACACACGACACGAGUGGAGUAGUGGGUGAGUGCCGAGUGGUUACCUUUCUUCCUCACCGCUCACGCACAUGCGGGCAGGAAGCCGACCAUGGCGCUGGGUGCUCGAUGAGAAGGUGCAUAGGGGCUGGUCAGGCAGGCUUGCCGGAACGCGGACUGAAUGGCAAGGCAGCGCGCAGGGGAGCUCAGGGGCCACGGCUGAUCGGCCGGCGAGCAGCAGCACUCGCUAGGCGCGAGGUUAAGGGUGACCAGGCUGGGAGCGGCUGGGCGCGACGGGGACUCGGCCACGGCCUUGCUGGGCCUUCGUGGGAGGGGCUGGACGCAGCUCGCACCGAAGCUUGGCGCGGCGGUUCGUCUACGGUCGCGACGCAGCGCGCGUGAGCUGGACGGGCAUGGCUAGCGCGCGGGCGUUGAGGAAAGCAAGGCAAGGUGCCCCAUACUCCGAGGACAGGAUCGGAUCGAAGAAUUUUGCCGAGCACGGGCAACAAAGAGGAAAGGGGUGCACCUGGUGAUUCGAUUCCUGUGGCGUUGUUUUGGUGUAGGAGAUGAAACCGCCUCAGGUGAUGUCGUCGCCCUCGAGCCUCGGCUGCUUGGAUGGGCGCUCCUCUGGUGACGACGCAACACAGGGAAGGAAGGACGCAGGGGCGUGGGGUGCUGCUGCGUGGGAAGAAGAGAGAGCGGGUCGCGGCGGUGGGUGUGUGUAUGUAUAGGAAGGAGAGGGUGCGGGAGGUGGUUGUCAAUUUACCGUGGCUCUCGUCCCGGCCGAGCCAGAGAGACAGUUGCUCGCAAAGAUGCACAAGAUGGGGUUAGAUAGAGUUAGGCAGGGGAGGGGAUAGACGGAAGCUGACGGAAUUAUACAAAGUUAGAUAGAGCUGACCACAGGUCCAGUGUGACAACGAGAAGAACAUGAUCAACGAGAGAAAUCAAUAUAUAUAUAUAUAUAUAUUAUCGAGUUUUUGAAAUAAUUUAGUUUUCGCAAUUACGAAAUUUUAAUAAUUAAAAUAAUAUUAGAAAAACUGAAAUUUAUAUUUAAUACUCGAAGAAACGUUCCGAGGAUUCUAAAUUCUCUUGGGAACAUCCUCGAGAUAUUUUAACAUGUCCUGAUAACAAUCCACACUCAUAAACACUAUGUGACGGCAUGAAUGCAGCAAUCGAAACUCCUCUAGGAUUUUAUUUUACUACACUAAAAACUUGUAUAUAUAAUAAAAUAACUCUCUAUUAUUUAGAAAAAAAGAAAAGAAAAGUAAGGAAAAGAGAGGGUAACAUCUGAAUUUGGUGGAUAUUAGAAAAGAAAUUUUAUACCCCCAAAUUCAGGGUGUUACAAAUCUAACCCCCUUAAUAAGAAUCUCGCCCCUGAGAUUCAAGAAGAAGCUAGCAAGAAAACAAGGUUGGUUCAUAGAUUGUUUACAGCUUCCUCGGCUCAACUUUGACUCUGGCAACUUUAACUUGCGGAUUGGUUGUUUUGACCUUUAGAUACUCGAGACCAAUUAAUAUUAUUCUUGAGGAUCCCUUGGACCUGUGGGUUAGGACCCACACACGCUUUCGCUGCGCCACUUCAAUCUUGUCGGUUGAUGCUGAUCACAUUGUCUUCAUUAGGGUUAGCGGCUAACCCCCUUAACAGGAGCAUUGAUACGCACUUAGUGAAGAUGUUGCCGACCCUAAUCUUGACUGAUUAAAAGAGGUUGUAGGAUGCCACCCGGACAGGUGCAAGAGGAAAGGGUAUAGAUAGAAAAGGUAAGCAUAGACGGAUUAGAGAGAGCAAGGGGAAAACCCAAUUACUUAACUAUAUGACACACACCUAGUAAACUAAUGUCAUUGCGGACUAAGGGCCACAACACAUCAACACUCAUCACAAAGAAGCAAAUCAGUCAUAACACAAGGACAAACAUCGCAAGCAUACAUCAACAAACAUCUCGUUGCUAUACGUUCCUUUUAAUUAAAUGGUGGUCUUUCUUGAAAAGGGGAAUAACUACCCUCUAAGGUUGUUGAAGGGCAAGGGGAAAAACAAGACGUGUAGGAUAGGGAUACGAGCACAAUAAGGGAUGUAGUUAAAGCAGGGAUUGUAAACGACUAGGAAAAGGAUUCGACCAAGGGCAUAAUGGGUAGAACACUACUCUCGAGUUAAGAUGGAAGGUGGGAGAUUCCAAAAAGCAGACCUAAGAUAAGCAUCAAGGCAAGAUCUAGUGAUUACGAAGGUAAGAGUGAUAUCAAACAAAAGCUAGGACCUGCAAUGCGGCAGAGGAAAAGGGAACGACCAAAAGCGGGAUGGGUAAGACAACACUAUUCAACCGAGACAGGAGAGGAGACUUUAAAAUGCAGAUACGAGAUAAGUAUCAAGGUAAAGGUCAAGGGAUGACAAGGGUUAAGGUGAUAACGGACAAACACACAACAAAGAAUGUAUUUGAGACAAAACUUGCAAGGUGUCAAAGAAGGGGAAGCAGCUAAUGAUGAAGUAGGUGAGGCAUUAUCUCCGAACAGGGAUGGAAAAGAAGAGGCUUCAAAGGGUGGGUUCAAGGUAAGCAGGAAGGCAAGGGCAUUGAUAUCACGAGGGUUUUAAAGGUAAUAACGGACAAGGAUGUAGGAGAGGAGGUAAAUGUGCAUAAGAACCAAGAAUAUAAAUACCACAAAGAAUGGAGUUAAGACAAGACCUGCAAAUGGAAAAGGAGAGGGUACGUCCAUGGGCCACGUAGGUAAACUGCCACUCUCAAUUUGAGGUGGAAGAGCGGAGAUUUUUUUUUGAGUAUGAAUAAAGAUGAGUAUCAAGGCAAGAUCGAUGGAUGACAAGGUGAUGGUGAUAGAAAAUCAAAACACAGCAAAGUAUGGAAUUAAGACAACACUUGUAAGACGAAAAGAGGUGAAGAGAAAUCAAGGGAGAGGUAGGUAACUCGCAACUCUCAAACUGGGUUGAAAGAAGGGGAGGGUUUAAAGGAUAAGUUUAAGGUAAGCAUUUAGGUAGAAAACAUAAAUAUCGCAAGGGCCAAAGGCGAUAACGGACAAGGGUGUAAGAGAAAAGAUAAAGGCAUAGAAGAGCAAGUGGUACAAAUACAAUAACGAAUGGAGUUAAGUCUGGGCCUACACGCGGUAAAGAAGAGGAUAUAGUCAAGGGUGAGAUAAGUAAGAGACCACGCUUCAACUAAGGUGGGAGAUUGGAGGUUUUAGAUAACGAACAUAACAUAAUCGCUAAGGUGAGAUUAAGAGAUGAGAAGGGUAAAGGCAAUAAGAAACCAAAGCACAGCAAGGAUGAGGUUACAAACUCGCGAGAUACUACAGGUGUGCAAAAUAAAAUGAUCACUCAUGGAUCAUUAGGAAACAAGGGUGGUCAAGGGCGUGUUAACUGAAAUAUUUCAAACAGACAUUGGGACAUAAAGGUAAGCAUAUAUAAAAAAUAAGAGUAUGCAAGAUUCCAAUGGUACGAGCAUACCAAGACCAAGAAAGUACAAAUUGCCAAAAAGAUAGCGACUUAUCAAUGGAAUAGGUAAGAGUCUCAAAAGACAAUAAGAUCAUGGACAUAUAAACUGAAAUGUUUAAAUAGGCAGUAGAGGUACAAGGGCAAGUGCUUUAGAUUAAGGGAUAAGGGUAUUAAAAAUGCAAGGACACGAGCAUGUCAAUAACAAAAUGGAAUAGAGAUGGUCAAAUAGUAGCAAUUUAAUAAUGGAUGAGGAAAGAGUCCCAAAAGACUAAAGGCUAUGGUCAGGGGGCAUCUACAAAGAUGUCACAAGCACAAGAUGAGAUCAGAUCUAAUAGAUUGAGAGAAGUAUAGAUCAUACUAGAAUAAAAUACUUUUUGGCAAGGGGGCAUAUAGGAGAACAACAUAGAAUUAGUCGAGGUGACUAAUAUUUUGAGGCAAAAUCAAGGAUGAGAUGAAGUAAUAAUCAAUAAGUCCUUAAAACAGCCAAUGCUACUCUAGGUCAGCGGUCCUACAGUCAGCACGGCUUUGAUACCACUUAUGUCACACCCGGUUUUGAAGGUAAACCGAAUGCGAACCAUGUACUUGCCAGGAUAAGAAAUUCACGUACACAGCGAUUACAUAAAUGACUCAUCAUAGCACAAUGCUUCGAAUAACAAUAAAAAGUAAGUAAUAAUAUUACAGACUAGAGCCAUUUACAUAAUAUAAAUCAAAGUACACAGAAUCGAAACGUAGCCAACGUAAACAAACCCACCACAGGCAACUGACUGGGGGAGGUCGCUAGCCUAAACCACGAACUCGCUGAAGUCCUAGCACUCCUGGGGAUCCGCCUCGACACCUUCUUCUUUACCUGAGCAUAGAUUGCACUAAAGGCAACCUGGUGUUUUGUGAAAGCAAGGGUGAGUACACAUCAACGUAUUCAGCAAAUUUCCCGUUUGGCUGAGGUGGACUAGCUUUAUGUGGAGUUAAGCUCAAGCAGUUGCUUUUAGUUGGUCAGAUAUUUAUUAUUAGUAGAAGCCAAGUUUUAGUAAUAGCCAACCCGUGAACAGCUUCCUCCUCGAGGAACAUCAUGAUCAUCAUCGAACCAAAAACAUUAAUAGAACCAUUGAGUCUCAAACCAGCUGUAUCUCUAAUCAAAGAGGAUCCCAAGGCUGCUCAUAACCGUGAGCACGGCUGAUAUAUCAGUUUCUAACCCUCUGCAGAGGUCGCACACUUUACCCAUGAGCCGUGAUUCCCGUUUUGCCCGGGGAUCAUGACUCCCCAUUGAUCACUUCCUAGGUGGUCCGGCAGGGUAUCACUACGUAGCCUUUAAAAAGAUUCCCUAGAGGUCAUAGCUACCAGUUUGGUUUCUCCAGUUUGAUAAACACAGUACCUCUCCCCGCAGGAGGGUGACUAACAAAAGCAAAACGAAAGAACCUCGGCACUCAGCCUCGGCAGAGCAAGCACUGUGCCUGGACCCCAUUGAUGGCACGACGGCGAAGCAACUACACCUCUAGUUUCCUCUAAUUAAUUAGCUAAGGGCAUCCCAUUUCACCCUCAUGGUUGCACUGUUAUCCCGGGUGGUCUCUCAACGAACAGGUCCUUACGGAGAGGUACUCGGGAAACAGUCCGAGUCCCCUUAAAUGCCACAAGUAUAUCAUCAUAUCCAGAAUAAAAUCAUAGUAUCAUCAUUGUAUCUUAUCAUGUUCAUUGAUUAAAGUAAAGCGCUAGCAUGUAGCUAACCAUAGUAAACCAAAAGGUAAAUCAAGGACAAGGUAAAUAGAAAGCUAGUAAAUCCUUAGGUUGUUCAUAGUAUGCGGGACAGUGAAUUAUAAAGUAAAUGGGACAUAAUGGGUCAGAGGACACUUGCCUUCACCGAAUAGAUGCUCAGGGUCUUCAGCCUCGUAGAACUCGAAGAGUUCGAUCACUUGGUCGCGAAAGCUUGACCGUCGAUUCCUCGAAGCUCGAAAAUGGAUCGCUGUCUAUUCGCGACGCGAAGCGAAGACGAACAAGCACCAGCAAACAAACAUAUACAUAUGCAUAAGAACAUUACACCAUACAAAGGAAAACAUAAUCAAAACAUGCAAUACGAAAUAGAGCGCGUUACUACAGUCACGCGAGGAAAAAGAAACGCGACGGUCGAGGCUACGGUCGAGAAGUUAUCGCGUCCAUACUAAGCGAGUAUUAAUCAUAACAUUUAGUUUGAUCUAAUUAUAUUAAUCAAUAUUUAUUAAAAUAAAACUAGAGCUGUUGCGCAAUUUUAAUUAGCUGACCACACUAACGAUUUUUAGUUAAAUAAGUAAUUUAAAUAACAACAGCGACUCUAAGCAGAAUUAAUUAGCGGAGCGAGACGAAACACGUAACGCGUGAAACAUCACGACAGCGUGCAAACGACGCGCGGACACGCGCGACAUAGCACGCCGACGAUACACGAACAGCACGCGCAACGAGCGUGAACGAAGCGUGAACCAGCACGCCGCCAUAUGCUGAACAACACGCGCGAUAGGCGAGAAAGCUAAAUCGGUGACAUGUUUAUACUAAACAAGUCUUAAUUAGAAUAUUAGUCCGACACAAUUAUAAUUACAUGAAUUGACAUUAUCAUAUCAAAUAUAAAAAACUAAUAUUUAGCUUUGACUAACUUACUAUUUUACUAGUGGACGAUUAAACAAAUAGUUAACUAAUUGACCUUAGUGAUUAAAAUCGAACGACUUUAAUAUCGCGCGCGGGCAGCGCGCGACAUGCGAAACAACACGUGCGACAACACGAGAGUAACGAAUGAAGUAUACACACGAGCAACAAGGCGACGGCGAGCGCCACACGUGGGAAUAGUGCGCGCAUCACGUGUGAAGGAGCACACGGAAAGCGCGCACGACCACGUAUGACCAUGAGCAAAUGACGCGUGACGGUGUACGCGAACAACACGCGACAACGCGUGAACGUCGUGCGUGACAGCACUCGCGACACGCGAGAAUCACUAACAAAUAUCAUGUUUGUUGUAAACAAGUAUAAAUUUAGAGCAUGCGAGUUGGCAUUAACCACAUUACUAUGUGUUUAUAAAAACACAAUCUAUAAAAUUAUUUUUAUGUAAAUUGCUAUUCUAAUAAAUAUCGGAUGAACAAUUAAUUAACUAAUUAAUUAAAACUUGUGUCAUGACAAAAUAAUGUUACUAAUAUAUUGACGAUAUUAUUAUUAAGCUAACGAGAUGAAAUGAAUCAAAACUGGAUCGUAACACAGAAUAUAUUGAAUAACUAAUAGCUCAUAUAUUAAUUACGAAGUGGCGCACGUGAUUGGUCGAAGCUAAAUCACAUAAAGGGCCACGAAGUUUGCAGCCAUGGAAGAUCAUCCUGAGGGAGUUUUGUAUUGGAUGUAGGGAAUUGUGCGUGCAGGAGGGGUGCAUGGCUGCAUGCACAUGCAUGUGUGGGGUUCAAGUAGUUUUUCUUAAACGCACGCCAAAGGGAUAAACACCAUGCAUGUGGGUCCCACCGGUAGCAUUUUCUCCCUCCUUUCUCUGCACAACUCACGCACGACACGAGUGGAGUAGUGGGUGAGUGACGAGUGGUUACCUUUCUUCCUCACCGCUCACGCACAUGCGGGCAGGAAGCCGACCAUGGCGCUGGGUGCUCGACGAGAAGGUGCAUAGGGGCUGGUCAGGCAGGCUUGCCGGAACGCGGACUGAAUGGCAAGGCAGCGCGCAGGGGAGCUCAGGGGCCACGGCUGAUCGGCCGGCGAGCAGCCGGCGAGCAGCAGCACUCGCUAGGCGCGAGGUUAAGGGUGACCGAGCUGGGAGCGGUUGGGCGCGACGGGGACUCGGCCACGGCCUUGCUGGGCGCUCGCGGGAGGGGCUGGACGCAACUCGCACCGAAGCUUGGUGCGGCGGUUCGUCUACGGUCGCGACGCAGCGCGCGUGAGCUGGACGGGCAUGGCUAGCGCGCGGGCGUUGAGGAAAGCAAGGCAAGGUGCCCCAUACUCCGAGGACAGGAUCGGAUCGAAGAAUUUUGCCGAGCACGGGCAACAAAGAGGAAAGGGGUGCACCUGGUGAUUCGAUUCCUGUGGCGUUGUUUUGGUGUAGGAGAUGAAACCGCCUCAGGUGAUGUCGUCGCCCUCGAGCCUCGGCUGCUUGGAUGUGCGCUCCUCUGGUGACGACGCAACACAGGGAAGGAAGGACGCAGGGGCGUGGGGUGCUGCUGCGUGGGAAGAAGAGAGAGCGGGUCGCGGUGGUGGGUGUGUGUAUGUAUAGGAAGGAGAGGGUGCAGGAGGUGGUUGUCAAUUUACC
rnacentral:lncRNA from 1 species